ACCGCAUGUGCUCUUCGGAGUAAAGCUUCGGCGCUUUGGGAACGGCCUGCGCAUGAUUAGCUUGUUGGUGAGGUAAUAGCUCACCAAGGCGACGAUCAUUAGCUGGUCUGAGAGGAUGAUCAGCCAGACUGGGACUGAGACACGGCCCAGACUCCUACGGGAGGCAGCAGUAGGGAAUUUUCCACAAUGGGCGAAAGCCUGAUGGAGCAACGCCGCGUGCAGGAUGAAUGCCUUCGGGUUGUAAACUGCUUUUAUAUGUGACGAUUAUGACGGUAGCAUAUGAAUAAGGAUCGGCUAACUCCGUGCCAGCUGCCGCGGUCAUACGGAGGAUCCAAGCGUUAUCCGGAAUUACUGGGCGUAAAGAGUUGCGUAGGUGGCAUAGUAAGUUGGUAGUGAAAUGAUGUGGCUCAACCACAUGUCCAUUACCAAAACUGCUAAGCUAGAGGAUGAGAGAGGUCACUGGAAUUCCCUGUGUAGGAGUGAAAUCCGUAGAUAUAGGGAGGAACACCGAUGGCGUAGGCAGGUGACUGGCUCAUUUCUGACACUAAGGCACGAAAGCGUGGGUAGCAAACGGGAUUAGAUACCCCGGUAGUCCACGCCGUAAACGAUGGAUGCUAGCUGUAAGGAGUAUCGACCCUUCUUGUAGCGAAGCUAACGCGUUAAGCAUCCCGCCUGUGGAGUACGAGCGCAAGCUUAAAACAUAAAGGAAUUGACGGGGACCCGCACAAGCGGUGGAGCGUGUUGUUUA
rnacentral:rRNA from 1 species